rnacentral:rRNA from 1 species
UACAGAGGUCUCAAGCGUUGUUCGGAUUCAUUGGGCGUAAAGAGCGCGUAGGCGGUCCGGUAAGUCGGUUGUGAAAACUGGGGGCUCAACCCUCAGAGGCCGACCGAUACUGUCGGGCUAGAGUCCGGAAGAGGCGAGUGGAAUUCCUGGUGUAGCGGUGAAAUGCGCAGAUAUCAGGAGGAACACCAAUGGCGAAGGCAGCUCGCUGGGACGGUACUGACGCUGAGGCGCGAAAGCGUGGGAGCAACAG